ACCAUCUAGACUGUUUUGAUUUUAUUAGUAAAUACAUAUGAAUUUGUAUUUUGUUUAUCCAGAUUUUGAUAACAUGUGAAAUGUAAAAAUUAUGUGUUAUCAAAUAUUUCCAUUAAAAAAAUUAUAUACACAGUGAUUCUUUUAUUAUUCACUUCUUAAUUAUUUGAUGUAUCAAAAUAAUGAUUGAUUUUAUUUUAGGAGGUUUUUAGCUACAUGUUUUUUUCUAAUUUUUAAUUAUUAAAGUAGUUUUUAAAUGGUAUUAUAUACAUACAAAGUGAUUAGUUUAAUUUAAACCACUUUAUUACUCUCAAAAUGAAUAAGAUAUUGAAAAAUGUUUGAUUCUUUUUAAUUAUAAAUAAUUUCGAUUUAACUUUUUAGAAUUAUCACUUAUAAUUUGUUGUGAUUUCAACUUUAUUUUUUCAAAUGGAAACAAAAUUAACUAGCUUAUUUAAUAGAUGGCGAUUUAGAAAAUGACUAUUCAAUAUCAAUUUUUGGAUUAUUAUUUUGUAUAAAAAUGUGAAAAUUUUCUAAAGUACUGGUCCAAAAGAUGUUAUCAUUAUUUUCUUAAUUAUAUCAUUUUCUAUUUUAUAAACUAAUUUAAUAUAUGUGUUGCUAUAUAAAUAUAAAAUAUAUAUAUGUAAUUAAAAAAAAAAAAAAAACCCCAAACUUUUUUUCAAUAUUAUAUUUAUUUUGUAAGUAAUCAAGUAGUUUAUAAUAAACUGAUCUUACUGCAUAUAACUUAGUUAUUAGAUAACAUCUUAAUUAAGAGAAAAUGACUAAUUGUUAACUCAUUAAACCACUAUUUCAGAAUUUGAUGCUAAUUUAAAGUAAUAGCUGAAAGUGAAGUUAGGUUUUGUAAAUUUUAUUUUAAGACAUUCAUUCUACGUCUAUGUAUUUAAAUGUUAAUAAUUGUUUAAGUAAAUUUUGGUUUAAAAAUUGUUAUUGACCUGUCAUUUUCUUAAUAUAAAUAUAAAUAAGCUUACUAAUUAAAUGUCAAAAGUGUCUGUUCCGUGUGCCAAAAAGAAAAUUCUUGAUUUAUAUUUUAUGUGGUGAUUAUAGCUUCAAUUCUGUAUAUGUUAGUUACAAAGAUUUGAUUGCUUUAAAUAUUUUACGAGAAGAAUAACUUUUUUUUUUUAAAUACACACAUCUAUUUUAAUGGUCAUUUUAAAUUAUGUUACCUAUUAUUAUUAUUUAUUUUGAACAUGGAAUAUUUGGCAUUUUCGUUUCAUAAGUGUUGCAAUUUUAAAAAUUGAAAUUGACAUCACCCCUAUAAGACAAAAGGUAUGAUCCAAAAAAAAAUUUCUUAAUUUUAAUAUAGUGGUCAAUUAUAAUGUGAUAACUGUAUAUUUUUUUCCCUCUACUUAUGUGUUUUAAAUAGUUUAAAAAAUAUUUGGUUAUUUCUUUUAAACUUGAAUUGUCUAUUACUAUAUUUAUUAUUUAUCUUGUCAGUUAAAUUUGCUUAAGUAUAUGAGAAUAUUUUAUUGUAAAUAUAUAUAUUACAUAGACAGUGAUGAUUUUCUAGCACACCAAUGCUCCUGAUAAAUUAUUGAUGAAAUUUUUAAGAACGGCCGUCUGAGUCUAUGGUUUUACAAUAAAUUGAAUAUUCUUAUCUUAUAAGUGUUACAAAAAUUAAUUUUUUUAUGUUAAUGAUGAUGUUCUUGCACACCAAAGCACCUGAGAUAUUUUAUGAAGAUAUCUUAAGAACGGCCGUCUGAAAAUAAACCUUCUAUGAUAAAAAAAUUUGUUUAUAUUAAUAUAUUUUUCAAUGAUACUGCAGAAAAAAAAUUGUCAAUUGUAAGGUUGAUUGGUCAUUUUUCUCUAUUGUAUUUAGUUUGGGAAUAUUUGAAAUUAUAUUUAUGAUAUGAUAUGCAAACUUUGUAUGAUCUUGAAAUUUUUCUGAUACAGGGGAACUGAGAUCAUAUUUGGAUUUGAUGAUUUAGAAAUUAUACCCUCCAACCUUAUGACUGAUACUUUUUUUGAUGUUUCACAAUAUAAACACCAAGUAAA